rnacentral:rRNA from 1 species
CCCUUAGAUGUCCGGGGCUGCACGCGCGCUACACUGAAGGAAUCAGCGUGCUAAAACCAUUGUCGAAAGGCAUUGGUAAACCCAUUAAAAUCCUACGUGAUUGGGAUCGGGAAUUGCAAUUUUUUCCCUUGAACGAGGAAUUCCCAGUAAGUGUGGGUCAUAAGCUCGCGUUGAUUACGUCCCUGCCCUUUGUACACACCGCCCGUCGCUGCCCGGGACUGAGCCGUUUCGAGAAAAGCGGGGACUGCUGCUGUCGGGGCUUUCGGGCCUUGGCUUCGGUGGAAACCGCUUUAAUCGCAGUGGCUUGAACCGGGCAAAANUCGUANCA